UUAAAUUGAAGAGUUUGAUCAUGGCUCAGAUUGAACGCUGGCGGCAGGCCUAACACAUGCAAGUCGAACGGUAACAGGAAGCAGCUUGCUGCUUUGCUGACGAGUGGCGGACGGGUGAGUAAUGUCUGGGAAACUGCCUGAUGGAGGGGGAUAACUACUGGAAACGGUGGCUAAUACCGCAUAACGUCGCAAGACCAAAGAGGGGGACCUUCGGGCCUCUUGCCAUCAGAUGUGCCCAGAUGGGAUUAGCUUGUUGGUGAGGUAACGGCUCACCAAGGCGACGAUCCCUAGCUGGUCUGAGAGGAUGACCAGCCACACUGGAACUGAGACACGGUCCAGACUCCUACGGGAGGCAGCAGUGGGGAAUAUUGCACAAUGGGCGCAAGCCUGAUGCAGCCAUGCCGCGUGUAUGAAGAAGGCCUUCGGGUUGUAAAGUACUUUCAGCGGGGAGGAAGGUGUUGUGGUUAAUAACCGCAGCAAUUGACGUUACCCGCAGAAGAAGCACCGGCUAACUCCGUGCCAGCAGCCGCGGUAAUACGGAGGGUGCAAGCGUUAAUCGGAAUUACUGGGCGUAAAGCGCACGCAGGCGGUCUGUCAAGUCGGAUGUGAAAUCCCCGGGCUCAACCUGGGAACUGCAUUCGAAACUGGCAGGCUUGAGUCUUGUAGAGGGGGGUAGAAUUCCAGGUGUAGCGGUGAAAUGCGUAGAGAUCUGGAGGAAUACCGGUGGCGAAGGCGGCCCCCUGGACAAAGACUGACGCUCAGGUGCGAAAGCGUGGGGAGCAAACAGGAUUAGAUACCCUGGUAGUCCACGCCGUAAACGAUGUCUACUUGGAGGUUGUGCCCUUGAGGCGUGGCUUCCGGAGCUAACGCGUUAAGUAGACCGCCUGGGGAGUACGGCCGCAAGGUUAAAACUCAAAUGAAUUGACGGGGGCCCGCACAAGCGGUGGAGCAUGUGGUUUAAUUCGAUGCAACGCGAAGAACCUUACCUGGUCUUGACAUCCACGGAAGUUUUCAGAGAUGGAUUUGUGCCUUCGGGAACCGUGAGACAGGUGCUGCAUGGCUGUCGUCAGCUCGUGUUGUGAAAUGUUGGGUUAAGUCCCGCAACGAGCGCAACCCUUAUCCUUUGUUGCCAGCGAUUAGGUCGGGAACUCAAAGGAGACUGCCAGUGAUAAACUGGAGGAAGGUGGGGAUGACGUCAAGUCAUCAUGGCCCUUACGACCAGGGCUACACACGUGCUACAAUGGCGCAUACAAAGAGAAGCGACCUCGCGAGAGCAAGCGGACCUCAUAAAGUGCGUCGUAGUCCGGAUUGGAGUCUGCAACUCGACUCCAUGAAGUCGGAAUCGCUAGUAAUCGUGGAUCAGAAUGCCACGGUGAAUACGUUCCCGGGCCUUGUACACACCGCCCGUCACACCAUGGGAGUGGGUUGCAAAAGAAGUAGGUAGCUUAACCUUCGGGAGGGCGCUUACCACUUUGUGAUUCAUGACUGGGGUGAAGUCGUAACAAGGUAACCGUAGGGGAACCUGCGGUUGGAUCACCUCCUUACCUUAAAGAAGC
rnacentral:rRNA from 1 species